CUAAUUUUGAGGAUUGCACCCAGGCCAAGCUGUGGAUUAUACAUGGUCACCCACAACACCUGAACAGGAAUGGAGGCAAGACAUUAUGGCUGGAACAUGGAGCACAGAACAGACAAGGGGAACCAAGACGCCCAUCCAAGUGACUGUGCAUUAGACAAUGGCAGAAAUGUUUUUUAUCAGUAUUCAUCAAUGCCACCUCACCAUAAAGGCAACCCAAGACCCACAGUUUCCAGGGGGCCCAGGAUCACGAAGCAGAUAUGGGGCUGGCAAAGAACAGAGGAGGGGGUUGGCAAAUCCCUUUGCCCAGCAAUUAUUACAUUAAAA